AAUAUAAGUAUUACCUGAAAUCCCCUUGGAUUCAAAGGGGGAAACGGGAAAGAAAGCCGGUGAAAAUCCGGAGCAGUAGCGCCUACUGUGAGCGGGGAAAAGAGCAAGCCAGCAAAGCGCCCGGAUUCAGGUACUGCCCUUCC
rnacentral:ncRNA from 2 species